UUUGCUGAGACAUCGCAACCCACCAUAUAUACCCGAUUUCACUUUCCUCUGUGGAGCUUUGGCAGUGCCUCCUUUCCUUCCUUCCACGAGUGCGUCUCCUCUUCUCCUUCGUCUCUUCAAUAGGUGAGGGUGUGGAGAGAAAACACGCCACCAUGUCUGA